rnacentral:rRNA from 1 species
AACGAACGCUGGCGGCGUGCCUAACACAUGCAAGUCGAACGAGAAAGGGCUUCGGCUCCGAGUAAAGUGGCGCACGGGUGAGUAACACGUAGGUAACCUGCCUCUAAGAUUGGGAUAACUUGUCGAAAGACGAGCUAAUACCAAAUGAGACCACGGUCUCCUCGGAGACAGAGGUCAAAGGUAGCCUCUAUUUAUAAGCUAUCGCUGAGAGAGU